AUACCAUCGCGAAAUUUCUGUUCACCUCGGGUUCGACCGGAACGCCGAAGGCCGUCAUCAACACCCAGCGCAUGCUGACGUCCAAUCAGGCGGCGAAGAUUCAGACCUGGCCGUUUCUCGGCGAACCAAAUCUCACCACGCUCGACUGGCUGCCAUGGAGCCACACGUUCGGCGCCAAUCACAACUUCAACUGCGNNNNNNNNUACAUCGACAGCGGCAAGCCCGCGCCCGGCCUGUUCGCGCUGUCGCUCGCCAAUCUGUGCGAUGUGAUUCCGACGGUGUAUUUCAACGUGCCGCGCGGUUACGACAU
rnacentral:misc_RNA from 1 species